rnacentral:lncRNA from 1 species
CUACUUUAUUCAGAUAUUCUCCAGAUUCCUAAAGAUUAGAGAUCAUUUCUCAUUCUCCUAGGAGUACUCACUUCAGGAAGCAACCAGAUAAAAAGAGGUGCAACGGAAGCCAGAACAUUCCUCCUGGAAAUUCAACCUGUUUCGCAGUUUCUCGAGGAAUCAGCAUUCAGUCAAUCCGGGCCGGGAGCAGUCAUCUGUGGUGAGGCUGAUUGGCUGGGCAGGAACAGCGCCGGGGCGUGGGCUGAGCACAGCCGCUUCGCUCUCUUUGCCACAGGAAGCCUGAGCUCAUUCGAGUAGCGGCUCUUCCAAGCUCAAAGAAGCAGAGGCCGCUGUUCGUUUCCUUUAGGUCUUUCCACUAAAGUCGGAGU